GAACGGUAGCACAGAGAGCUUGCUCUUGGGUGACGAGUGGCGGACGGGUGAGUAAUGUCUGGGAAACUGCCCGAUGGAGGGGGAUAACUACUGGAAACGGUAGCUAAUACCGCAUAACGUCUUCGGACCAAAGUGGGGGACCUUCGGGCCUCACACCAUCGGAUGUGCCCAGAUGGGAUUAGCUAGUAGGUGGGGUAACGGCUCACCUAGGCGACGAUCCCUAGCUGGUCUGAGAGGAUGACCAGCCACACUGGAACUGAGACACGGUCCGGACUCCUACGGGAGGCAGCAGUGGGGAAUAUUGCACAAUGGGCGCAAGCCUGAUGCAGCCAUGCCGCGUGUAUGAAGAAGGCCUUCGGGUUGUAAAGUACUUUCAGUGGGGAGGAAGGCGAUGGAGUUAAUAGCUUCGUCGAUUGACGUUACCCGCAGAAGAAGCACCGGCUAACUCCGUG
rnacentral:rRNA from 1 species